rnacentral:lncRNA from 1 species
AGACCGGAAACGGAGGAGAGCGCGGGGGAUGUGUUUGGCAUGGGGACGCACUGUUACAGUUGCGCUCCUGGUUGGCUUUGUGUUUCCGCGGUGUUGGUAGAGUCUCGGUGUUUCUACCUCUUAGCACCCUUUCCUGCCACCCUUUGUCCUGUGGAAGCCCGGAGACAUCAGCGGCUGCAAUUUUGCUACUCGCUGCUCGGCAUGGAACGGUCAGAAAUGAGCCCGUGAGUCCUGAGUUGGUGGCAGCUGCAUCUGCUGCUCUGUUUUGACAAGCAAACAAGCCAGAACUGCUCAGGCAGCUCCGUAGCAUGAGGAAGAGUCAGGGGCACAGAGAGAUGGAGAGAGACCUAGUUAGAGAGCGAACCAUGUGCUGGAUUUAGCCAGUCCUGCAUUUUUCUAUACUUCAAAUCAAAACGGGCCAUGCUUCACAUCUACCCAUGAUGAAUAGGGGUACUUUGAUUAAGAAUAAAUAGAGCUGACUGAAUUCUGAACAAGAAAAACAUAUUCAAGGGGAAGAGAUGUAAUAGUUUUGACGUGACGACAGUUACUAAAGAAGCACCUGAACAGACACAUCACCUUCACUUUGGGAUGUGGAAUUUGCUAAAUAAGCCACAGAAAAUGAACAUCCCUUCAGAAUGGGUUUGAAGAGCUGAUCCAGUGGAUUAAAGAGGGGAAACUGGGAGUUUCCAAUUAACAAUGAAGCAGGAGCUGACUAAGGCUUUGGAACAGAAACCAGAUGAUGCACAAUAUUAUUGUCAAAGAGCUUAUUGUCACAUUCUUCUUGGGAGUUACUAUGUUGCUGUUGCCGACACAAAGAAGUCUUAUGAACUCAAUCCAAAUAAUUCCACUGCUAUGCUGAGAAAAGGGGGCUGGCGGCAUGGAGUCUUGCUCUGUCACCCAUCCUCGAGUGCAAUGGCACCAUCUUAGUUCACUGCAGCCUUGAAUUCCAGGGCUCGAGCCAUCCUUCUGCCUCUGCCUCCUGAGUAGGUGGGACUACAGGCAUGUGCCACCAUACUGAGCUAAUUUGUUAAACACUUUUUUUGUAGAGACGAGGUCUUGCUACGUUUCCCAGACUGGUCUCUGAACUCCCGGCCUCAAGUGAUCCUACUGCCUUGGCCUCCCAAAGUACUGGCAUAAUAGACAUGAGCCACUGCACCUGGCUCCUAAGUUCUUUUCUUGAAUAAUAUCUUUCUUUUUUUUUAUUUUUUGAGGUGGAGUCUCACCCUGUUGCCCAGGCUGGAGUGCAAUGGCGUGAUCUCGGCUCACUGCAACUUCUACCUCCCGGGUUCAAGUGAUUCUCCUGCCUCAGCCUCCUGAAUAGCUAGGAUUACAGGCGUGCGCUACCACGCCUGGCUAAUUUUUUGUGUCUUUAGUAGAGAUGCGGUUUCACCAUGUUGGCCAGGCUUGUCUCGAACUCUUGACCUCGUGAUCCACCCGCCUUGGCCUCCCAAAGUGUUGGGAUUACAGGCGUGAGCCACCACGCCUGGCCAAGUAAUAUCUUAAUAUCAUGCCAUUGACAUUUAUCCUCUAAUUAUUUCAGAGGUGGCCUUCAGAAGAAGGCCUCUUUGGUAAAAUUGCUAUUGAGGAUAUUUCACUGAAAAACAAAUUUAUCUUUAAAUUUAAAUCCAGGAAAAAUUUAAACUUUCAGGCUUCUAUUUUUAUCAGACAGGGUAAAAAAUUUAUAACUCAGAAUAUUACCCUUUCCCCUCUUUGUGUGAUGGAUUGCUUGGUUUUAGUUACUGAUUAUUUAAAAUAAUAAGUUAUUCAAAUCUAGGAUUUUGAUACAAUAGUUCUUCUCUAGAAUAUAGUGUGUGUGUGAGAGUAUAUUUAAAAUUUUUAUUAAGGCCCAUGGGGCAGCCUUUGAGGAAACCAGACCUUGGGGAUCGCCAGGCAGGAUUAGUGGCAGGAAUUGAGAGAACAGAGCCCCACAGAGCUCCUCGGGGACCGUCCCCCAGUCACAAGAGUAUCUCAAGGAAGUAGUCUUCUCCCACAUCCCCCAAAGAUAACUACCAGAGGGUCAGUUCUCUGAGCCCUUCUCAGUGUAGAAAAGACAAGUGUCAAAGCUUCCCCACUCACCCUGAGUUUGCCUUCUAUGACAAUACGUCGUUUGGCCUCACUGAGGCUGAGCAGAGGAUGCUGGACCUCCCAGGAUAUUUUGGGUCAAAUGAAGAGGAUGAAACCACAAGUACACUUAGCGUGGAGAAGCUGGUGAUCUAGACUGAGAAUCAGCCUGAGCUUAACACAGCUGGGGUCUGCUACUCGCGUUUUGUAGACUUUUGUGUAACUAUUUGUACCGUAGGACAGAAUGUGAGGAGGAAGUAACACACACAGAGGAGGAUGUGUGUGUGUGCAUGUGUUUGAAUUCACAAGGAAGAAAUUAUUUAUCUUGAGCUUUUUCCUUUGUUAUUCAGUUUUUAUUGGUUUAUUACUAAUAAUGAUAAUAAAAUGUAAACAAGAGCAA